CUUAUGAGGCAGGCGGCGGAACCACUGAGCUAAAUCCCCGGCCCUUGGCUCCUUGUAUACUAUACUCUAACCCAUAAAUGGCUGGAAACCAGUAGUUAAUUGGGAUUGGCUGGCCAGCAAAAUCUUCCCCUUGAAGGACAAAGCCAAGGUUGAUGCAAGAGAACAGCAAAGACCUGCAGGAACUGAGCUGUCACAAAGGCCGAUUUCGGGAGCUAGGAGCAGUAGAGGCUGCACUGGGGCAUCAAGGAAACCAGACUAACAGUGGUAACAAUUCUGGUUCACCAGAAGCCGGGCUGCAGCAUGGAGCAGAUAUAAAGAAGAUGAGAGGCUGACUCCCCUGACACGAAUAGAGGAAAGGCCCCUGAAUGAGAUCAUGUCAACUUCCUCUGCUUACACAGUAACGCUGGCCUUCUUUCCUUUUGGAAAAACAAGUCAUCCGUGCUCCAGAGUUCAGGGCCGCAUUGUGAAGUGUUUCUGAACCCCUGGUGACAGCGAACCGGCACGGGUCCAGGGACAGCCCCAUGCUGGCUUCUCCAGGCCUGGCCUUAGAGCCCCUGGGAGCGCACAAGGCCCACUUCACGUCCCUGCCAUCCAAACCUCUGUUUGUGCAAGUCUGCGAACUCCAGCAGAUAUGUGCUGAAAAUGUGGGCUUGCUGCUUAAAAGAGAAUAUUUUCUUCAAGAAUCUCAAGAUACUGCCUUGCAAGCGCAAGGUCCUGAGUUCGAUCUCCAGUACUAGAAAAAAAGAAUCUCAAGAUAGUGUUGAGUUGGUUUGGGGCUUAAUGAUAAAUUUUUAAAUGUUCAAAGGAAGUGAUUCUGUUUUCAGGUGCUGCUCCUACUCAUACAGAGCAAGACUCAGUCAAAUCACCUCACAGCUGAAAGUCACAGACAAAAAGAAUGUUUAAAUUAGAUUUUAAUCCAUGGAUUAGUACAUUAGAUUUCAUUUAGAAUUCUUUUCCUUAGUAAAUUAUUUUUGCUCUCCAGCAGGGAUUCUGGUUAAAGAAUAUGGUAUCAAUUCCCAGAGUUAACCUUAACUCAUAGUGGGUUAAAAGGUAUAAAAGAUCACAAUAUUUUGUAUAAGAAUAAGCUUCUUUAAUCAAACACUGAUAUGAUGCAGUCGUGUUAUGGAAAAUCAGUCUCUAAGUUACUGAACAGUAAAUAGUAAGUCAUAUGUUGGCAUGUAAAUUCUACAUAGAAAAUCAGGUGUGUAUAAAUGCCUUCAUUUUAAUUUUUUUUUGGCAAUGGUUGUAGAUCUGAAUUUUUAAACGUCUCUACUUAAAAAAAAAAAAAAAGAAAAGAAAAGGCUCUGUAGCAGGUUUUUCCUGGAUGCCAGCCUGCCAAGGCAAGCCUGCUGGCUGAGCGACAAGGCAUUAUUCCAACCACAUUCCCCACACUGCACCUCAGAGUGUAGUUCCCAGGAGGUCAGGUAUCUCUACAGACUAUGAGCAGCAUUCUUGAGGAUUUUGAAAACAAAGUUAUCUCCCUCCAGGUAAUUUGAUAAUACAGUGGAUACUCUGAACUAGCCCCCAAAGAGCCAGUUGCCCAGACUCACUGACACUGUCCAGUCCUGAUUUCUGGCCAACACACACAGCUCAUGGUCUUGCAAAUAGGCUCCUCUGGAUAGAAUAUCUUAACACUUCUGCCUUCAUCAGUUAUAGACUUACCAAGAAUAAGUUGUGUUUGCCCUCAAAUCUGUUUACAGAAGCUGUCUUUGUUAUUAUUCUUAUAUAAUUUAUUUGGCAUUUAAAACAAACAGGUAAAAUAAAAGUGACAAAAGAAAGAGAUUUGUAUUUUCUCUGAAAGAGAUGAGUUUUUUAAAUGUCAUUGUAUUAGGUCUGGGUGAAAAAACUGUAGAUGAUUGAUAGGAUAGUACAAAACCCUAAGAGCACUAUUUUCUCAGAUUGCUUCAAAAGUUCCUGGUCCAUAUAAAAGAAACCCAAUCCAAAGAAACUGUGCAGCUGAGAUAAUUAUGCAAAAAAAGAUGAUGUAGAAAACAAAUUGAUUGGCCUGAAAGUGUUAGAUUAAGGCACAUUUAUAUGCUGUAAGUCAAAAGAAAAUGCUCAAUAUUUAUAUGCUUUAAGGUAAAAGAAAAUGUUUGAUAUGUGUGUGCUGUCUGUCAUUCAUGAUGCCGUUCUAAUUAACUUUGUAUUGUUACCCCACGGACUACAAAUCCUGAUUAUUUUGAAUAGCAUGCAUAUGUAGAGUUCUGGAGAGAAUGAGCUAAGAAAGCAGACCCUGGAUUCAGGAAGCUAUAUCAGUCAAUGCAGAAGUAAAAAUGCACACCAUGAUGAUGACAGAAAAUUAGGAGGUGCAUAGAAAGAAAAGUUGAAGAGCAGACAUCAUAGCUUCAGGAAGUAAACAAGUUUGAGUCAGAGUGGGAGGAGCACUUUGGGAAAACACAGGAAAUCCAGGAAAAGAGGCUAAUUUAAUGGAGGAAAAGAAACUUGGGGUUUUGGUUUGUCAAAUUUAGACUAAAAACCAACUGGGUAAAGAUAUCCUGAGAUUGUUAGGAAGUACUUUGAAUAUAAGCCUGAAACUUAGGAGAGAAUUAGAUAACAGAAAUACACAAUUGUGAGCAGCAACAUAGACAAUAACAGUUAAAAUCCUGAGGAUGGAAGAAACCUAGAGGAAAUCAAGAUAGAAGUGACCUAAGAGGAAAAUUCUGUUUGAGUGCAAAAGGUUUAAGAAAACCCACAGAGAAGAAAGAAAAAUUCAGUAAGUAAAGAUGAGAAUUACAGUUAUAUCAAGUCUUCGAGGCCAGGGGAACAGAGAGUUGGGGAAGUAACAGAUGGCCAGGGACAUAGGUUUCAAGGAAGCAUCUUUUUUUU